GGCAUUACCACCUGGAAAACUGAUAGAUGAGCGGCCUUUGGACAGAUUUAGCUUGCAGAGCCUCAACUGUAGUAUAAAUUCUCAGUUUUAGCAAAAACAUCUGCAAUAGCAUGGAGCUUAGAUGCUGAAGAGGCCUGUUCCUGCCCUUGACUUUGUGUGUGCGUGUACGCUGUAUGGGAACUGUUGAGUAACAGCCUGAACCACUGAUUGAGCACCUGAGGAAAGGACUGAGCCAGCCGUGGGAUCACAGGUGACAACGGAGUGAAGAAGGAUGUGAAAUCUUUGCCAUCAUCCUGCAGAGGAUGGAUGAGGGGACCCUGAGCACACAUAAAGUGCAGGUCUGGAGUAGCUGAUCCAAUUAGAGGUAGCUGAAGAUCCCUCUGGUCUGCAUGUAGCCAUGGAAGAUGAUUUCAACCACACCUGAAUUAUCCUACACUCAAUGAAAGAAUACACAGGUGUAACAGGAGACUCAGCAUGCAUGCCUCCAACCACUAAGAUCAAGCCUAUCAACUACAUUAUAGAAGAGUUUACUUUUGCUGAAUUGUUAUGUUCUGUUUUAGAGGUAUCUUUUCAUCACUGAAGAACACAUCAAAAGAUUUUAGGCUUUGACAUUCUUAUCCAGGAUAUGUUUCACAGUCUUUCAUCAGCCACUGAAGCUGGAUUAGCACCAGAAAAUUUUUAACACACACUGUAUGUGCAGAGAAGAGACCAAGGGACCUUUGGCUUACAAAGAAUCUAUAAAAUGUGAUUAUUAAUUUCAAGGUAUCACACAUUUAAAAUAGAGCUCUUCAGCAUUCUUUAUAACUAAAAUAAUGAACUGAUGAAGAGCUGAUGAAGAGCCUGCCUGAAGAUAAUGUCAGAACCCACAAAUAAAAUAACUCACAUAACAACUGAGAUGGACUCAUCAAAAAUUCAGAACAGAAAUGAAACUCUGAUUUUCAAUUUAAUCUCCAAACAGUACACUUGCUUCAAUUUACAGUGUUUUAGAGGAGUGGGUAAAAUUAGUCUUUAAAAUCUUCCAUUCCAUUACAGAAAUGGGAAAUAAAAUGUUUACUGGUUUGCAGUUCAGAAGUGAUGGAUGCACGCUAGGCCUCUUCUUAGUAUGUACUGGGCUGUUUUCAAGAAAUGCACAUAAUCUGGAAGCAAAGCUGACAAAACUAUGUUACUGAAAUUGCUUUGAUUCAAACACUGCAAAGGCUGUUUGUAUACUUGAAGAAGUCAGAUCUGGAUGGUGGAGUUUGAACUACUAAAUUUUCCAGUUCUCAUCAUCAGUAUUAGAUGGUGUAUUUAGUCCUAAAGCACGGUUAAAUAUUCCUGGAAAUCUCGGACGAUCCUGUGCUGCAGCUGAAGCCACAAAACAAAUCCAGCUCAUGAAAUGAGCUACUCUGCGUUUAAAAAUGGCAAUUUUUGAGAAGUGAAAUCCCUAAAUUCUUGAAAUAGUUUGUUGAAAUUCUCUGAAAUAUUUGUUUGAAAAUAACGCUGCUGCAUGUAGAAAAUGGUUGCAAAACUGCUCUAAUUUUGAAAUAGCAACACAUUCUAAUGUAUCCAUAUUGCACACAAUUACCUUUUAUGAGAAGGCUGUAAGAGCAUGACAAAAUUAAUAAUUUCAAUGUUUCAAGAAUUAAUUUAAAAUACAUUUUGCAAGGUUCUUUUAGCUAUUUGUAUAUAUUUUUUUUCAUUACAGCAUUACAUCAGAACAUUAAAGAUUCUACCAGAAAGGUGAAAAAGGAAAACAGUUGUGCAAAAUCAGAAUAUAAUGUGAGCUUAUGGUUGCUCUGUGAUUCACUGUAAUGCAUUAUUAAUCCAUAUGUUAGUAAAAUAAAAUAUUUUGAAAAUUGUGA